rnacentral:rRNA from 1 species
GUGGGGAAUUUUGGACAAUGGGCGCAAGCCUGAUCCAGCCAUGCCGCGUGCAGGAUGAAGGCCUUCGGGUUGUAAACUGCUUUUGUACGGAACGAAACGGCUCUUUCUAAUAAAGAGGGCUAAUGACGGUACCGUAAGAAUAAGCACCGGCUAACUACGUGCCAGCAGCCGCGGUAAUACGUAGGGUGCAAGCGCUAAUCGGAAUUACUGGGCGUAAAGCGUGCGCAGGCGGUUUUGUAAGACAGGCGUGAAAUCCCCGGGCUCAACCUGGGAAUUGCGCUUGUGACUGCAAGGCUGGAGUGCGGCAGAGGGGGAUGGAAUUCCGCGUGUAGCAGUGAAAUGCGUAGAUAUGCGGAGGAACACCGAUGGCGAAGGCAAUCCCCUGGGCCUGCACUGACGCUCAUGCACGAAAGCGUGGGGAGCAAACAGGAUUAGAUACCCGGGUAGUCC